AAAUUGAAGAGUUUGAUCAUGGCUCAGAUUGAACGCUGGCGGCAGGCCUAACACAUGCAAGUCGAACGGUAACAGGAAACAGCUUGCUGUUUCGCUGACGAGUGGCGGACGGGUGAGUAAUGUCUGGGAAACUGCCUGAUGGAGGGGGAUAACUACUGGAAAC
rnacentral:rRNA from 1 species